AGGACAGCUAGGGCUACACAGAGAAACA
rnacentral:piRNA from 2 species